GGUCAGCUGACACAUCCCGGCCAAUCUCCAGCAGACCCUCCCUCCCAGACCCUUCUACUUCCUGGACAGCAUCCAUGUUGAAGGCAGCUUCAACAUGGAUGCUGUCCAGGAGGUGGGAGGGUCUGGGAGGGAGGGUCUGCCAGAGAUUGGCAGGGAUGUGUCAGCUG
rnacentral:miRNA from 1 species